UUCUGGUAAAUGUACAUCUGUGGUCUGUACUCCUUUCCCACAGUACCUCCUCACAGUUGAUGAGGAUUACCAACUUUUCCCAUAAACUAGAUUCCCUGUGCCAAGCUUUUACUGUAAGUGGCACCACCUAAAACUACUGUUUCACAUCAUAUGUCAUCAUCAUAUGUCUUCUCCUUUCUAAGACCCUUCUCUCCAUUUCUGUAGAUCAUUCUGAGCUACUCAGAGAAUUGCAACCAUUGCUCUGUGGCUGGCAGGAUGAUUCUCGGCACACUGGCCACUCUAAACGCUAUGAUAACAGAAUUAUUAUAAUCUAAAGCACAUGUGUGACAUGAAUGUUCUUAUCUAAAAUCUUUAUAAUAUAACAUUCUAAACAUCUCUUUGCUUCCUGCAGAAUCAGGACCCUUCAUCUCAUGAAGGGAUUCAUUUUGGAGCUGGUGCAGAUUGGGAUUCAGCACUUUAACUUCAUGGACAUUGUCUUUGAGGUGGUGGUGCUUGGAGUUCUAGGCCUCAGAUCUGUCCAGUGGCAGGAGGUUUUCUUGGCCACCUGAUGGUCAUGAUUUCCUCAUUCUCCACUACCAGUGAGCAAAUAACACCUUGGGCUGCUGAACAUCUGCAUAUUCUCAAGAGAAGGAUGAUCCUCCUCCUGCAGGACAUCUUUUCUAUGGAGGAGAGUGUGUGUGCAGCUCCUGCAGCUCCUGCUCCUCUUCUACCUUCCUUACCAUCCCUUCUUUGCUGUUUUUUUAUUAUUAUUCUUAUUUUAAUUGUUAUUUAUUUAUUUGUUCUUG